rnacentral:sRNA from 1 species
GGCAUCAUGGUACAAUCGUUGAAACAGAAUAGUUAAAGACGGUUGGCAAAUCCGGAUCGUUAAGAGGGUGGGGCCUAUGGGCGAUUAUCAAACUCUGAACGAAAGGAGGUGCCGGGUUGUCUGUCACCGAUGUGCUGACGAUCAUGCUCGCAUUUGGCAGUUUCGUACUGUUACUUGUCGACUUGAU